CUGCGAGAGGACGUUGCGUGCUCGCUCGCGCCAGGCGAGUCUCCGCGUCUCCCUCGCGAACUCGGUGAAAGGAAUUGGCGCCGUUCGACACCAGGCGGGUCCGCUCUGCAGCACGAACCCACCUCCAGCCGCAGCCGCAGCCGCCGCCCGGGCCGAGGAGCAGCCGCAGCAGCCGCCACCAGUGGCCGAGUGAGCGGAGCCGAGUUUGAGCCAGCGCCUAGCGGUGAAUCGGGGCCCUCACCAUGAGUUCCUCGCCUGUUAAUGUAAAAAAGCUGAAGGUCUCGGAGCUGAAAGAGGAGCUCAAGAAGCGGCGCCUUUCCGACAAGGGUCUCAAGGCCGAGCUCAUGGAGCGACUCCAGGCCGCGCUGGACGACGAGGAGGCCGGCGGCCGCCCCGCCAUGGAGCCCGGGAACGGCAGCCUAGACCUGGGCGGGGAUUCCGCCGGGCGCUCGGGAGCAGGCCUCGAGCAGGAGGCCGCGGCCGGCGGCGACGAGGAGGAGGAGGAGGAGGAAGAGGAGGAGGAAGGGAUCGCCGCGCUGGAUGGCGACCAGAUGGAGCUAGGGGAGGAGAACGGGGCCGCGGGGGCGGCCGACUCGGGCCCGAUGGAGGAGGAGGAGGCCGCCUCGGAAGACGAGAACGGCGACGAUCAGGGCUUCCAGGAAGGGGAAGAUGAGCUCGGCGACGAGGAGGAAGGCGCGGGCGACGAGAACGGGCACGGGGAGCAGCAGCCUCAACCGCCGGCGACGCCGCAGCAACAGCCCCCACAGCAGCGCGGGGCCGCCAAGGAGGCCGCGGGGAAGAGCAGCGGCCCCACCUCGCUGUUCGCGGUGACGGUGGCGCCGCCCGGGGCGAGGCAGGGCCAGCAGCAGGCGGGAGGUAAGAAGAAGGCGGAAGGCGGCGGAGGCGGCGGUCGCCCCGGGGCUCCGGCGGCGGGAGACGGCAAAACAGAGCAGAAAGGCGGAGAUAAAAAGAGAGGUGUGAAAAGACCUCGAGAAGAUCAUGGCCGUGGAUAUUUUGAGUACAUUGAAGAGAACAAGUAUAGCAGAGCCAAAUCUCCCCAGCCACCUGUUGAAGAGGAAGAUGAGCACUUCGAUGACACAGUGGUUUGUCUUGAUACUUAUAAUUGUGAUCUACAUUUUAAAAUAUCAAGAGACCGCCUCAGUGCUUCUUCCCUUACUAUGGAGAGUUUUGCUUUUCUUUGGGCCGGAGGAAGGGCAUCUUAUGGUGUGUCCAAAGGCAAAGUCUGUUUUGAGAUGAAGGUUACAGAGAAGAUCCCAGUAAGGCAUUUAUAUACAAAAGAUAUUGACAUACAUGAAGUUCGGAUUGGCUGGUCACUAACCACAAGUGGAAUGUUGCUUGGUGAAGAAGAAUUCUCUUAUGGGUAUUCUCUUAAAGGAAUAAAAACCUGCAACUGUGAGACAGAAGAUUAUGGAGAGAAAUUUGAUGAAAAUGAUGUGAUAACAUGUUUUGCUAACUUUGAAAGCGAUGAAGUAGAACUCUCCUAUGCAAAGAACGGGCAAGAUCUUGGCAUUGCCUUCAAAAUCAGUAAGGAAAUUCUUGCUGGAAGGCCACUCUUCCCGCAUGUUCUCUGCCACAACUGUGCAGUUGAAUUUAAUUUUGGUCAGAAGGAAAAGCCAUAUUUUCCAAUACCAGAAGAUUAUACUUUUAUCCAGAAUGUCCCCUUAGAGGAUCGAGUUAGAGGACCAAAGGGGCCUGAAGAGAAGAAAGAUUGUGAAGUUGUUAUGAUGAUUGGCUUGCCUGGAGCUGGGAAAACCACCUGGGUUACUAAACAUGCGGCAGAAAAUCCUGGUAAAUACAACAUUCUCGGAACAAACACCAUAAUGGAUAAAAUGAUGGUGGCAGGUUUUAAGAAACAGAUGGCUGAUACUGGAAAACUGAACACGCUGUUGCAGAGGGCUCCACAGUGUCUCGGAAAGUUUAUUGAGAUCGCUGCCCGUAAGAAGCGAAAUUUCAUUCUGGAUCAGACCAACGUGUCUGCUGCUGCCCAGAGGAGAAAAAUGUGCCUGUUCGCAGGCUUCCAGCGAAAAGCUGUCGUAGUUUGCCCAAAAGAUGAAGACUAUAAGCAAAGAACACAGAAGAAAGCUGAAGUAGAGGGGAAAGACCUACCAGAACACGCUGUCCUCAAAAUGAAAGGAAACUUCACGCUGCCGGAGGUGGCCGAGUGCUUUGAUGAAAUCACCUAUGUUGAGCUGCAGAAGGAGGAAGCCCAAAAACUUCUGGAGCAGUAUAAGGAGGAGAGCAAAAAGGCGCUGCCGCCGGAAAAGAAACAGAACACCGGCUCCAAGAAGAGCAACAAAAAUAAGAGUGGCAAGAACCAGUUCAACAGAGGCGGCGGCCACAGAGGACGUGGCGGGUUCAACAUGCGCGGCGGGAGUUUCAGAGGAGGAGCUCCUGGGAAUCGCGGUGGUUACAACAGGAGGGGCAACAUGCCGCAGCGAGGCGGCGGCGGUGGCGGCAGUGGCGGCAUCGGCUACCCGUACCCUCGCGGCCCCGUGUUCCCCAGCCGAGGCGGUUACUCGAACAGAGGGAACUACAGCAGAGGCGGGAUGCCCAACAGAGGGAACUACAACCAGAACUUCAGAGGACGAGGAAACAAUCGUGGCUACAAAAACCAAUCUCAGGGCUACAACCAGUGGCAGCAGGGUUCUGUCCAUGUGAAUGUCCUGUGUGGAAGAGUAAAGGGCCCAACUAAAUGUGUUCCAGUGAUUCCAAUAGGUAUUCCAAAUUCAUUGCUGCUUGUACAUUUCAUACUUGUUCUUUGGGCUUCUAGGAUCACCUUAAUUAGAACUCUCUUAUUUAAAAGUAGGGGAUUGGGAGACAUUGGUAACCCUGAUUGGCUAGAUUCUAUAAACUGGAAAACCAGGUUUUCUCCUCUGUCCUUCGCACCCCCAAGUAUGAAGUAUUGGUGUGCCCGCGAGUGGUGGUCCUUGCAUGGGAUUAAGACUGGGUAUGCAAAUAGAACCGAGCCCUUAAAAGGUUAGAUCCUUAGUCUAAUGGUUCAAAUUCCUUCUGUUGUAACUUUUUGGAAGACACUCUUUUUAAUUCUCACUUGUAGAGAUUACGGAAAAUGCUUUAAUGCAGAAAACUGUCCAGGAUACCUGUGUCCAUGUUUUCCCCAGAUCUUUCUGCAUCUGUGCUAAAUGCGUACAUGCUUACUCUUUAUUAGUUUAUAAACAUUUGGAAAGUAGAUUGAGAUCCUUUUGGAUAAUGAGAUGGGACUCCAUAUCAAAAUGGAAAAAUCAACUAGGAAGUAAAUUUAAAUUGUGAAGACAGAAGGAAUAAAGAGGCUCAGUGUGAGCUCUGCUUGUGCCAGUCCAGAGCAUGUAAUUUCUCACCGCCCUGAAGUCCUUUAAAGGCUUGAUAAGAAGCUUAGAGGGAAAUGUAUUGGGUAAUACAGUAUAGCGUUGAGACGUAGCUAUCGGGAUUUGCUCAAUGAACUAGAGCUCUACGGUGUCACCUAAAAUCUGAUGGCUUCUGAAAGAGCAGACUGCUCUGUUUCAGACUAAAGAGUAAAAAUCCGAUUUUGUUCACUUGAGGAAGAAAAACGUUACGAGAAAAAGGUUUGUUUCAGAAAUAAGCUUUGAGUUCAGAUAGCAAAGCAUAGCUUUCAUUUCAUAGGACUUGUCCUCACAGUCCAAAGGGAAGAAACACUUCCGUGGAAACUGCUCCAUUAAGAAACCCCGUGUAUACAGGUUGUUGACUUUGGUUUCCUAAGGGGAGGUCCUACCAUAAGUUUAUGGCAUAUGGAACUUAACGGAUGUUAUUCCUAGGAAAGUGGAACAGAUACCAUUUGUUCACAAAAAUGAACAACCGAAGGCUUUUUACAUUAGUGCCUGCUCGUGUUAAUGUAGUCACUGCUGGUUUUGUCAAGAUAGAAAUACUUGGAAAAAAACCUUUACUCUAGAAAAUGAAGAGUAAGGCAAGCAUAGCUGUUGAAGACUCCUACUUGAAGUAGGAGUUACAAGCUUCAACGUUACAAGCUUCAACAUGUAAUACCUUGAGGAAGACCUUUGUAAUAAGCUUUGUCCCUAAAGCUUCGUAUUUUAAGAGAAAAAAGGUGGAGCUUCCUGCAUAAAAUCGGCCGCGUGAGACGCCAGCAUUGGGGUAUUGGUAUAUUCUGUUGUCCUCAUUGGAUGACCACUGGACCAUAUUUUAAGAUGCUUCCAAAAACUAUUAUUAUAGAGGACCAUUAAAAAUCAGAAGUUUAGCACUCGCUUUAUUUUUUUCUACUCAUUAAGACUUUCUGUUUACCCAAACUGUAGUACGUAUAUUAACAUGACUUUCAAAGGGGUGUCUUGACCCCCAUCCGCUACAGAUUUUUAUCUAGGAAUAGAAGGAUUCCAACCCCAUUUGAUCCCUAGCUCUUUGCUGAAAAGUGCAUAAACAGGAGUCCUGAAUUUAUUAUAUAGACCUCCUCGCAUUAUAUAAUCGAAGCAAAGGGAAACCAGCGAUGGAGUAGAGGUACGUAGACUAAAAAGAUGCUUGCACAUCAAAUAAUGGUACUAGGAAUAGUUAAAAUUUUUUGUUGCCAAACUUGGUCAUUAUAAAUCACAAGUCCAAAGAAAAGCUUCUAGUUAAUGUUAAAUUCCCUGAGGUCCUUUUACUGUGAUGGAAAAGCCAAGUAGUCGAGGGAGGGGUGAGGGAAGGGGGAAAUGCAUAGAGCACCAGACAGAUUUAAGGAAGCAUUUAUAGAUAAGCCACAAAGCGUUUUUAAAACUACUAAUGGCCGCAAUUCUAUUUUAAUCAGCUAUUUAGCUGGUAUCUACUGCUAGAUCACCUAGUGUGAAGUUUUGGAAUUAAUGGAACAGUGAAAGCCGAGAUUCACCUGGAGGUUCCCGCUGUCACGGAAGGUCUUCAAUUUAUGCAGUUACUCUGCUGUGAAAGUGAACUAACCUUGUAACUGGUGAAGGCCUUGGAAAUUUUUGCCAGCCGAGAGGUUUCUCUCACUCAGGGUAAGAUGUAAUCAUAGAAUGGGAGGGCAAGGUGGGAACUGAGUUAACUUAAUCCGAUUGCCCGAUUUUAUACAUUGCCUCCGUUUGUAAACCGAAGCUGAGAACAGGAGUGGCCUGUGCACACAGCUUAUUAAAGGUCCGGUUGGAUCAGUACUCCUCAGUCCCCCCCCCCCCCCCCCCCCCAUGCAGAUACAGUGCUGCCUCUUAAAAAGUGAGUGACUGGUCACUUUGAAUAACAGACUGGAUUCAGCUUUUGAGUUGUGUCUGUAGUGGACAGAUGUUCGUAAACAGCAUUUUCCUUUCCAACAACCUUUCCUCAUUAGUGUUCAAAUCCUGCCUUGGGCGGCCUCUAGAUGAUGAGAAUAUUCUUAGGAGGUGUGGCAUUUGGGAGACCACAUAGCCCGUGCGCCCUGCCCCUGGUGAGGACGGCCACGGGAAAGGUGGGCGUAGGAGGGAAGGGUGCUCCCUCGUGUGACCUGGACGGAGCAUGCGCUCCCCACUUACCUGUGAAAAGUGGGACACCCCAGAAUAAAGUUUCAGGAUAUCUUGACCUCGUUCUGUUUCUCUGGCUCACCACCAUAAUCCAGUUCUAGGACCAUUAACCAGAAUCCCGUCUGCUGGUCUGUGUUCAGACUUACCGUCUCUUAACCAGGAAGGGACCCCCUAGCUUGUGUUUUGUCAAAUUAUUUAAGAGAUUUUCCUGAAAAGUCCUGUUGGCUAUUUAUUGAGCCAAAAAAUAAAUAAUUCCAUUGCUUCCAUUCCAAAAGGGAGUUUUUUUCCCCUGAAUGAAUAAAUGCUGUAGACUUGG